GCGAACAAAGCUUUUCGAUUUGGAUUUGGAUUUCGAUCCUCUCAACCAAAAAGCUUAAAAGAUUCUUUUUUCGCAUAGAAAUUCUCUGUUUCUUCUUUUCCUUUACUUUAUAUUUUCAAUUAUUAGAUAGAUUAACAGCUGCCUGCACCAUUCUUAUUUUUGUUUGUUUCCAAACUGCAUGCUUAUAAUUAUAAUUUGUAUUCUCUACUUUUUUAAUCUUCUACACCUUAUUAUUGAUCAGUAAUAAUAACUCUAAUCUCAAUUAUUAGAUUCAAUCACUUUCAUUUUUUUUAAUUAUUAUCAGUGUCCUAGGUGUUG
rnacentral:lncRNA from 1 species